rnacentral:lncRNA from 10 species
CAGAAGCAACAUCUAAAAGAGGUGAAAGUGAUUGCAGGUUAGGAGCCGAGUUGGGUAGAAAUCUCAUAGUACUACUUAAACUUUUUUAAACCAUGUACCAUUAUGUUUUGAUAAAAAUAAAAUAAAUUUUAAAAAUAUUUAUAUGGUAAGGACAUAGGAAAUAGUCUCCAACUAAUGAAAUAUGUCAUUCUGUCACCUUUUUAAAAAGUAAUCUGGCAAUAUCUAUUAUGAUGAAAAAUGCACCGACCCUGUGACCUAGCAAUCUUAUGUCUGGUAAAGUCAUCAUAAAGAAAUGAAAGCAUCUAUAUAUAUAUAUAUAUAUAUAUAUAUGUACAACGUUGUUUAUUUUCACAGAAAGUGUAAGACUUUGUUUAUUUUAGCAAAUAUUUCAUGGCCGCAAAACCCUGUUAGUAAUCUAAAUGUCCUUCAACAAAGGAAUGGCUGAAUAAAUUAUCUCCCAUUCACAUUGUAUACAAUUAUUUAAAAGGGCAAGUUAAAUCUAAGUAUAUUACCAUAAAGAUACUUCCAUGGUGCAUUUUAUUUUUAUUUUUAUUUCUACAAAUAUAUAAGGUAUACAUGAAAUUUUGUUACAUGUAUAUAACACGUAGUGAUCAAGUCACUGUAUGGCUUGUGAACAAUGUUAAUUAAUUAAUCAUAAUAAUAUCAACAUAGAGAACAUAUUUAAUCAACACUUAGGGUGUGCAUCUACUGAGUACAGUACACUCGUGUUAACUAUAGUCACCCUACUCUUCUAUCAAACAUUGAGUUUAUUCCUUCUAUCUUACCGUAUGCUUAUGCUACCCUUUAGCCCACUUCUCUCAUUUUCCCCCAUGCCCCAAUCACCCUUCCCAGUCACUGUUAUCUAUCUUUCAAUCCCUUACCUCCAUGUGAUUAGUUUUAUUGGCUCCCACAUAUAACUGAGGGCAUGCAAUAUUAGUCUUUUUGUGCCUGGCUUAUUUCACUUAAGAUAAUAACCUCCAGUUUCACCGUGUUGCUGAGAAUGACAUGAUUUCAUUGUUUUUUUUUUUAAAUGACCAAAUAGUAUUUCAUUGUGUAUACGCACCAAAUUUUCUUUUUUUAUUAGAAUUUCUUAUUUUAUUUUAUUUUAUUUUAUUUUAUUAUACUUUAAGUUUUAGGGUACAUGUGCACAAUGUGCAGGUCAGUUACAUAUGUAUACAUGUGCCAUGUUGGUGUGCUGCACCCAUUAACUCGUCAUUUAGCAUUAGGUAUAUCUCCUAAUGCUAUCCCUCCCCCCUGCCCCCACCCCACAACAGGCCCCAGAGUGUGAUGUUCCCCUUCCUGUGUCCAUGUGUUCUCAUUGUUCAAUUCCCACCUAUGAGUGAGAACAUGCGGUGUUUGGUUUUUUGUCCUUGCGAUAGUUUACUGAGAAUGAUGAUUUCCAAUUUCAUCCGUGUCCCUACAAAGGACAUGAACUCAUCAUUUUUUAUGGCUGCAUAGUAUUCCAUGGUGUGUAUGUGCCACAUUUUCUUAAACCAGUCUAUCAUUGUUGGACAUUUGGGUUGGUUCCAAGACUUUGCUAUUGUGAAUAGUGCUGCAAUAAACAUACGUGUGCAUGUGUCUUUAUAGCAGUAUGAUUUAUAGUCCUUUGGGUAUAUACCCAGUAAUGGGAUGGCUGGGUCAAAUGGUAUUUCUAGUUCUAGAUCCCUGAGGAAUCGCCACACUGACUUCCACAAUGGUUGAACUAGUUUAGAGUCCCACCAACAGUGUAAAAGUGUUCCUAUUUCUCCACAUCCUCUCCAGCACCUGUUGUUUCCUGACUUUUUAAUGAUUGCCAUUCUAACUGGUGUGAGAUGGUAUCUCAUUGUAGUUUUGAUUUGCAUUUCUCUGAUGGCCAGUGAUGGUGAGCAUUUUUUCAUGUGUUUUUUGGCUGCAUAAUUGUCUUCUUUUGUGACGUGUCGGUUCAUGUCCUUUGCCCACUUUUUGAUGGAGUUGUUUGUUUUUUUCUUGUAAAUUUGUUUGAGUUCAUUGUAGAUUCUGGAUAUUAGCCCUUUGUCAGAUGAGCAGGUUGCGAAAAUUUUCUCCCAUUUUGUAGGUUGCCUGUUCACUCUGAUGGUAGUUUCUUUUGCUGUGCAGAAGCUCUUUAGUUUAAUUAGAUCCCAUUUGUCAAUUUUGGCUUUUGUUGCCAUUGCUUUUGGUGUUUUAGACAUGAAGUCCUUGCACAUGCCUAUGUCCUGAAUGGUAUUGCCUAGGUUUUCUUCUAGGGUUUUUAUGGUUUUAGGUCUAACAUUUAAGUCUUUAAUCCAUCUUGAAUUGAUUU